rnacentral:lncRNA from 1 species
GGCGAAAGGGCAAGGCGCUCGUCAGUCAGGCGGCGCGGCCAAUGGGCUCGCGCGUUGCCCUCGCGCCCGCCCCCGCCUCGGCCUCCCGGCGCCCGCGCCGCCUUCCCUCAGGCCGCCGCGGCCCGCCCGCCCGCGCCUCCAUCUGGGUCCUCGCGCGCGGCUCUCGGGCGGCGGCGGACGGCGGCGGCGGGCGCGAGGACCCCGCUGUCCCCGCGGAAGACGACGGCGGGCGGCAGCCUUCUCCGCGAGCCUGAGGUGGGUACGGAGGCGGGACGGCUAGCGCGGCCCCGUCGCCAUCUUCCUUCCGUGGGAGCCCCGGCCGCGCGGCGGCGGGAGAAGGGCAGUGCUGCAGGCUGGCCGGCGGCGGCCUGGUCGGGGCGGGCGGCGGCGCGGCCGGCUGGGCGGGCGGGGGAUGGGCGCCGCGUGGCCGGCCGGCCCCAACCCCCUCCGCUUCCCGCCCAGCGCCUCACGGGCCGGGGGGAGGGGUCAUUCUUCACAUUCUUCACCCCGCCCCUCCCCCCGCUUCAAUCAAACUUGGGCGGGGGAAGUCCCGCCCCCGGCCCGCGCCCGUUGGCCGGCGCCGCCUCCCGCUGUGGCGUGGCUGGCUGCGGGCGCCGCCAGGUCCCCCUGACGUCACUUCCGCUAUCAGGUUUGUGGGCCGGGGAGACCUUGGCCUUGGGGGCUGGGAUGCGGGAGGGCCGGUGGGAAGUGCGGGGGGAGGGCCGGCGCGGACGGGCGUCCCUGGCUGGCUCCCUGCGCCGAUCGGCGCCCGGCGAGCCCAGUGCCCGGAGCGGCGGUACGGCCGGGCCGCCGCGGGCCGUGCUUGGCGGGUGGGGGCGCGCGGGAGGAAGCGGCCUCCGGGGGUCGGGCUGGUGCCUGGCGCCCUGGGACCCGCAGGGCCGCGGCCCCGACGAGGCUGUGCGCCCGGGCCGGAGUGCGGGCGGGCCCCGGCGGCGCGGGGCGAGGAGCGUGUCACCUCUGUGUCCUUGGCCGGCGGUGGCCCUCGGCCUCCGAGUUCCGCAGGAGGGCUGGCCGCUGCCUCCUGGUGGGCGGGGCCGGGGGCCGGGGCGGCGGGGGCCUCGCGUGCGGGCCGCGGCCGCCGGGAGAAUGAAUGGGCGUCCGCCGCGGGCGGAGAUGCCGCCUCCCUGGCGCCCAGCUCCGAAGUCGCGCCCGCGUCCGGCGGUGCCCGAAAGCCCGGCGGCCGUGCGAGGAGACGCGCAGGCAGCUCUGACGUUAACCCCGGGUCGCGUGGAGUGGAGAAAGUGA